rnacentral:rRNA from 1 species
AGAGUUGAACCUGGCUCAGGGCGAACGCUAGCGGCGCGCCUAACACAUGCAAGUCGUGCGGGAAAGGGCUUCGGCCCUAGUACCGCGGCAGACGGGUGAGUAACACGUGAGCAACCUGUCCCCGGGUCUGGGAUAACCACCCGAAAGGGUGGCUAACACCGGAUAAAGUCACCGGGCGCAAGCUCGGUGAUGAAAGGGGGCCUCUGCAUAGCAAGCUCCUGCCUGGGGAGGGGCUCGCGGCCCAUCAGCUAGUUGGUGGGGUAACGGCCCACCAAGGCUAUGACGGGUAGCCGGCCUGAGAGGGUGGUCGGCCACACGGGCACUGAGACACGGGCCCGACUCCUACGGGAGGCAGCAGUGGGGAAUCUUGGGCAAUGGGCGAAAGCCUGACCCAGCGACGCCGCGUGGGGGAAGAAGGCCUUCGGGUCGUAAACCCCUGUUCUGGGGGAAGAACCCUGAACGGGUUAAUAGCCCGUUCAGGCUGACGGUACCCCAGGAGAAAGCCACGGCUAACUGCGUGCCAGCAGCCGCGGUAAUACGCAGGUGGCGAGCGUUGCCCGGAAUCACUGGGCGUAAAGGGUGCGUAGGCGGCAGGGCAAGUCGCGGGUUAAAGCCCGGGGCUCAACCCCGGAAAGGCCUGCGAUACUGCCUUGCUUGAGGGCCGGAGAGGCUGGCGGAAUUCCCGGUGUAGGGGUGAAAUCCGUAGAUAUCGGGAGGAACACCGGUGGGGAAGCCGGCCAGCUGGACGGUUCCUGACGCUGAGGCACGAAAGCGUGGGGAGCAAACCGGAUUAGAUACCCGGGUAGUCCACGCCGUAAACGAUGGGUGCUAGGUCUGGGGAGGAAACUCUCUGGGCCGAAGCUAACGCGUUAAGCACCCCGCCUGGGGAGUACGGCCGCAAGGCUGAAACUCAAAGGAAUUGACGGGGGCCCGCACAAGCGGUGGAGCACGUGGUUUAAUUCGAUGCAAAGCGAAGAACCUUACCUGGGCUUGACAUGCCAGGGUUGUACCCCGGUGGAAACACUGGGGGAGCGUGGGUUUUUACUCACGCGCUCUGGCACAGGUGCUGCAUGGCUGUCGUCAGCUCGUGCCGUGAGGUGUUGGGUUAAGUCCCGCAACGAGCGCAACCC